AUGCACCUGGACUCCACUGUAUGUGUUCUAUGCAACAAUGAAGACUAUGAAGACAUGACUCAUCUUCUAUUCACUUGUCCAUUUAGUCAAGGUUUCUGGUGGAACAUUGGAUUUGAAUGGAAUUCGGAUAUGGAGAUCAACAAUAUGAUUAUUGAUGCUAAACACAGAUAUAAAAUUGACCACUUCAUGGAAAUCAUGAUUCUUGGUUGCUGGAGCAUAUGGAACCAAAGGAAUGGGAUGAUCUUUGAAGGGAUACCUUGCUCAAUAAAUGAUUGCAAGAUUGACUUUGUCGGAUAUUUGAAAAUGACCAUGUUGAGGGCUAAACCCACUCUAAAAGAGGUCAUGUCUUCAUGGAUAGACAAUAUUUAA
rnacentral:rRNA from 1 species